CCAAAUGUGGGUUUCCGUGUUAAUAUAUUUUAAACAGUUUUUCUAAUCUACUGCAUACCUCACAAUCUGAAAAACAUAAACUAGAGGCAACUUUGGGAGCUUAUCUACGUUGUUUGGGGUAGUUUUAGUAUGUGCUACUGGCAGUAAAUCUGAGAUCAUUUAGAAACCUGGGAAGUACAAUUUUGUUUGCUCAGUUAUUCCAUAACUGAAGCUUGCUUUCCUGCCUGCUGAUGAAUUCUGUUUCUGAUGUCACAGUCCGGCAGUCAAGUGAGAAACUGUAGUUCUAGGUCAUGCUGGGUGUUUACUUGCACAAAUCGGAUGGGCUGAUUAAUAACAUAAAAGAGAAAGCUGCUUCAGAAAAGGCAGCCAUCCAGUAUUUGGGAUACUUUUCUGAGAUUUAAGAGCAUGAACGGCUUACAGACGUGCACUGAGAUUCUUCAUUAGUAUCUGCCAAAUUCUGCCUAAAAAUGAGCCUUUGUUUAUAUGCCUAUAAGAUCAAGAGCAGUCACGUUGCUGGAUUGCUGAGACCAGCAUGUAUCUAAUUCACCAAUGUCAUUUUGUUUUGUCCUUUACAUACACACCCAACCACAUUCACCUCUGUCCUGAAGUGCAAGCAGAGAUCCUCUUGUCAGCGUGGUGGGGGCUGUUUGAGAGCAAAGUUCUUUUUCCUCAUUACCACUCUUUAAUCGCAAUUAUUGUCCCUGGGGUGCAGAUACAGCAAAUGAACUGUGCGUUAGCUCCCCGUUCCUCAACACAGAGUUAGUAAGUUUAACUUCUAUCACUGACAAAAAUGUGGAAAGCUAAUUUAGCUGUCUCUGUACUCCAGCAGAUGAGGAGCAGGUAUUACAUACAUGACUACAACUUAACUGAGACCAGUAACUUCCAGCAGUGGGACAGUGAUGGCAGCUGGGAGCUGUAAUCUCUUAGAAGCAGUGCAGCUGUCUGCAGUGUGGUUAUGUGGUUAUAACGUGUAUUAAUAUUUCUGCUGUCAAUCCUUGCAGGUGGGGCUGCCUUUUUGUUUUAUCCUUGUGUUGCACCUAGUAAAAGAGUUCAGGUUCACAGCUGAGCCCUAAGGUAAUAACAGCAAAAAACCUUUCUUAAAUAAGCAGAGCAGGGAUUUGACUUUGCAUCUUAUAUGAGUAUCCUAACCAGAAGGCAAAUUUGUAUUUAGGGCCCUGGUAUCUUUACUCUUCCAUUUAAGUUUUUAAUGAUGUUUUUGACAGAAAACUACUUAACUUGAAAAUUCCUUGUAGAAGCUAGCGUACCACCCAGCAUUAAGUCACUGCUGGUUAAAUGUAUUAUGUCACCAAAAUAGUAGGAAAUAUAAUGGCAUUUAAAUAAAUCAGUUUUUGCAUUUGUUGAACACAAUUUUUGAACAGUGAAGAAUAAAAUUUACAGUCCUACCUGCUGCUGUCGGGAGGAAGGCUCUGAUGCCUCCAUUUUCUUUUUUUCCAGAGAAAUAAUACCUAUAUGGAGAUGUCGUUUUUCUGAACAGAAAUAACACAAAGAGCAUUUCUCCACAUUUGCCUUGUGUGUAAAGUGAUCUUCCACUAAAAAAAAUAAUUAUAAUUUGUAAAAAUAUAACACUUUGACUGUAGCCUAAUCUACGCUUUCACUGUUAAUUUUGCUGAUGCAUAAAUGUAAAGCAUCCUUAUAAAAAGUCCAGGAUACUUGGCUAACAAAGAAGCAACAGCUGGAUGGGUUUGAUGCUAAAAAAAUAAUUUAGAAACUAGGAGGUAAAGACUAAUGGGAUGACUUCCAGCAGUUGUGGGAUAUAGCAUUUAUUUUAAUGUAAUGCUGUUUUAUGGCUUCAUGCGCCACCAUUGAUAAAAGAUUAGACACUCAUCAAACUGUUCCCACUCAAAAAUCAGGAUUCCAUUUUCAGCAGCUUAUUCACUUUCUGUAACUUCAGUCUAAGUGUAUCAAUAUAAAGCAUAUAUUCACAGCAUGCCAUUCUUUAGGACAAAUGUAAUUGUACUAGUAUAUAUAAUUCUUAAGGUGAUAAAAACACAAGAGUUCCUUAAUUUUAACUCAGAAAAACUCUUCACUGUUCAAGUGUGAAUGGGGCAUGUGAUAGUGUUAAAAUUGGUUCUUUACCAUAUUAAAUUUUCAAGAAUAACAUUGUGUGAAUACUUUGAGGAAAAUAAAAUAUGUAUAUGGCAUCACACUGUAGACCCACCUAACUGCUCACUCAUUUUAUGUGUAAUAUAUCAAGAGUAACAGGAAUUUUGGGCUGCAAAAAUUGCAGUGGUACAAGUGGUACAAAACUGAGCUACAACCCACAGUGUUGAUUAGAGAACAUUAAAUGUAAGUAGUGGCUCUAUUUCUAUCUACCCAUUAAAAUUAAUAGUAGAGUGUAAAAAAUAUCACUUGGAUCUUUAAACAUCAGGAAAUGAACCAAACCCCUGGUUUCAGCUGCAAGUAUUUCCAGUCUGAGUUGCAGAUUUUCCACACAAUUCAAGAGAAUUACUGCACUGAACCCCACUGAAAUUCUGUACAUGUUUGCCUGCCCAGUUUGGGCCCUGUACAAAAAAAAAAAAGUGAUCUAUUUCAUUUUUCAUUUCAAGCCUAUGAAUGUAAUUAAAACUUCAUGUUGGAAGGGACAUCACUGCAUAUAUGUGGAUAAACGCAAACUUUGGGGCCAGGGACAGAAGAAUCAUUGCAUCGUAAGAAAACAGUCUUACACUAUAGCAUUAAUACGCUUAAGCAUUUCAAGGAAAUAAGCUUUAAGUGCUACUUAUUGUAACAGAUUGGAAUGUGUAGAGUCCCAGUAUUAGAUGGGAGUAAUCUCCGCAGUGCGAGGCUGAUUGCAUGGGUAGCAAGAGUUGGCUAAUCCUUUUCGGCCAGUGGCAUAAAACAAGGAUUAGUUUUUCAUUUACUGCAACUGAGUGGGUCAUUAGGAUCCAAAGACACUAAUGAGCCUUAACAGGCAAUUGGAUUCUGGUUUCAAAGUUAUGGGCUGGUUUAAAAGGAGAUGAUUGUGUCUUUUAAUGAUUUAAAACACGAUGUUUUGGUGACCUUUUUUCCUGAAAAAAAAUGAAUGAGGGAUAUAACCGUGGAACACAAACCUGGAAUAUUGACUUUUUCUCUUGGAACUUGAGUCAUUGCCGGAUUCGUUGCCUUAGAGGCUGAACGGCUCAUUUAGAAAUCUCUCUGUUGCCUUUGCUUUUAUGUUCUGCUCUUGAUGUCUCCAGAGUUGACACAAGUCACAUGCAAUCAAGUCCAUAUUCCUGGUGGACAGGCACUGUCCUAAUAUUCUCUGACUCACACCCAGGUUGUUUGCAGCUCAGCAGUUCUGCUUCCAGACACAUCACUUUGUGUUCUGAUGCCAACGUCGUGCUGAGAAAUUGCCUCUUGGCAUGUUGUUGCUUGAGUCCUGUACCUUGCUUGAUUUGAUGUGAAGAUGAUGCUCUUUUUAGCACUCACAACACGUUACCUUUGGAAAGGUAAAUUUUUCCCCUCACCUUGCUACAUCCCAGAUUUUCUUCUUUUCAAUGAUCAUUUGAAUUUGGCAAUAAUACGUAGUUUGUAUUUGGUUUCAUUCAGAUCAAUAGAUGUUGCCCAAAGAGUAUAAAAGAUGGACAUUUCCACAGUAAUAGAAUGUUUAAAUAUAUACAAAAGGCAAAUGACUGUCACGAUUCCCUAGGAGAAAUAAUGGCAAAUGUUUUAACAAUAUGAACUUAAUUUUUUGUAUUGUACCGCAAUCCACAAAGCACUUAAAAUUAUUUCAGGCAGCACAGGACUCACUCUGUAGUCUCUGAGACUUGGGUUGGGGGUAAAAUCAGGGAAAGAAGCAUAGGGUUAAGUAAAAAAAGUUCUUGCUAGUGGGGAACCAGCUGUUACAGCUGGUGGGGAGCCUGGUAGUUGACAGUCCAUGCUGAAACUGGGUUUGGAGCUUGGAGUUCUUGUCUGCUCCCUUCUGCUGGAGCAGGUCUGCCUGGAGCUAAGCAUCAUCUCUUGCUGCUUUUCUCUUUUUCUUGAGGCACGUGUUUGGCUAGUUUCACUAUUCCCACAAAACGCAUGGUGCUGCGUUCAGUGAUGUUGCUCACAGCUGCAAAGGGCUCAUGUCCAGAAGCUACGAGGAUCACAAGUGAUUAAAAACCUUGCUUAAAAAUCAUCCACAAACCCCUUUGUAAGCAACGUUUCCAUCAUGUUUCAGGGAGGUGCCAAGACUUUGAAGCACUCUGGCUGUUACCCAAGCAGGGCUGAUGUGCACCACAAUUUCAAAUCGUGCCACAUGGGUUGACAAAUGUCACUAGAUACAAUACAUACUUCAAGGUGAUAUUUUUGCCUUGGGAAUCUUGCCCCAAACACUUGACCAGUCAUGUUUCUCACUGCUACAUAUAUUGAAGGAGUUAUCAAAUGCAGCUGCCUGUUUCUUUUUCUCUCUUGCAGUUGGAAGAGGCUCUCAGAAAUACACCAGUUGUUACCCACGUGAUCUUGGAGGUCAGAUGUUAAACUAAGGCCCUGAUUCCUUGUGCUCAUUGCAGACCUGUUGCUCGCCACCGCUGGUGUGUUGUUGUAAGAAGAGCGAUGCAGAACAUGGCGGCUUAGUUGAUUUUGGUUUUUUUUUCUUUCCUUCUUGAACUUAUAUUAUAGUACUUGUGACUCAUCAUUGAAGGCUGAAGAGCAGUAGAGUUCUGACAAAAAAAGAAAAGAUGUAAAUCACAGACAAUGUGGAAAACCAACACUGAACUUCUGAGGUGCUUUUGAGCCCACGUUGGCCAUCCCUCCAGAGCACUUGAAGCUGGUUCUGUGAAGUUUUGUUAGGAUGUCUCGGGAAGGCAUCAUGCACCAAAUCCAGACUGGGCCAUUUCCACUAGAUCAACGUCACUGACAAGCCGUGCUCUGAGCAGAGUUGUCAUCGAGAACUUCAGCUGGGAGAAAUUUAUAAAAUCUGAAGAACAGAAGCUUCUGAAGUGUUGAAUGUCCUUUCAAGUGCACGUCAGUCUAGGAAGAUGCUGAAAGACUAAAUCUGCUGAGCGAAAGAAAGGCAUAUAGCAAGAAGGACAAAGUCAUAGAACAAAAGACAGGCUGACAAUUGGUGCCAGAGAUAUACACAUUUAUUCCUUCUUACUCCCAGACUGUAGCAAGACUAUAGGUAAGAUUAAUUAGUGUCUGCAUGCUCCAGGGUUUUCAGAGCUGGAUUCAAGCGCAGUAAGGCAGAUCUGCAGCACAGGUGUCCACAGCUCAGUGUGUUUCAUUACAUCACGUCACAGUGGAGCAGCACUACUCCACGUCCGUCAACGUAAAGAUACUGCAGGCAACAGCGUUACGCCAGGUAAGGGAAGCUGGCCUUAUUUUUCCUGUCGCAAAUGCCGUCUGUGUUGGGGUUAUUUUUAUUGUCAUUACUACAGUCAGCAUUACAGCUUCUGGCAGCUGUUGUGGGAGGCGAAAAGAAGGGCAUCCAUAUGGCGCUGCGUAUUGUAUCAAAAGCGUCUGGCGUUUGGGAAGAUUCUUACAAAUGUCAAUGGUGGGUCAUUCAAGGCCUGAUUUUAUUUCAGUGAAGUCAAUCGGGAUUUUGGUGUUUAUUAGUAGGAGCAGAAACAAAACCUUAAUCCCUGGCAAUUCUGUUUGUAUUACAUUGUACACAGAGUGACACAGAUGUGCACAGGAUACUGUGAAAAACACAGGGUCAGAUGCUGCUGUCACCUGCUCUCCCAUGACAGUGGGACUGAAGCCAAAGGGAACCUCCCAACCCUCAGGCCUGGACCACUGUUUCAAGACAACAAUUAAAUUUUCUCCAUCCCCUGUGAGAAAAAAAAUAAGUUUUGGGGAAGUAGAUGUGAUUCACUGAACUUAUUUGUGCCACUCCCAGUCUCUCUGCUGAUGAAGUCUCAAGAUCCUGAAAGCAUCACUCAGCCAGAUCUGAUGUUAGUUACUGCAUGUGCUAUAAGAUGUGGAGCAGAAUGACAGACACUUACAGAUAGAGCGAAAGGGAGGGCAUUUAACCUGAGGUUGAAGCAGAAGAGGGCAAGUGGGAAAAAGAAAAAUAAGCAAGAUAUCAGAAAAAGAACAGGAUCAUGAAGUGUGAAGAAGCAACGCUGGGUGGGAAAACAGAUCCCAAAAUGGGUCUUGUUAAUUCCAGUUGAGUCACUUUUCUUUGACACAAAUGCUUUACCCCCUCAGUGUGUGCUCCCUCUGCGCGAUGGCUCCAGCGAGUGCUGGGCACUGCUCUGAGAACGUGGCCAACUGCUGCCAGGCAGGGACCUCAGCUUUUUUUACCACUUUAAUAGCUUUUAUUAGGACCUCAAUGGCCAAUUACAUCAACCAAGAUGGGCAAUGAUCUGAGGAGAUGCUGAAGUGAAGACGUAGCUGGUAAAGCCAUUGCCGAGAUGAACAGUAGCAAAGAAAUUCAGAAAUCCUGAGGCAGAAAUGCCCAUUUCUCUUUGUUUCCACUUCUGCAACUCCUCCGUUGUACGAAGUGCCAGCCCUGCCACCCAAUGCUGCCAUGCCGGCCACGGCAUAAAAUAUCUUUUGGUUUGGGCUUUGCUUACAAUGUGCCACAUUGUUCCACAGAGCCGGGGCUCUUCCCUCUGCGGCAUUGAGCUGAACAUGCCCAAGUGGUUGCUCUUCGUUUGUGAAGUGGGCUGCGCUUAAGCAAGGUGCUGCUCCAGCCCAACAGGCUCUGCUCAAAUUGAUUUCUGCACCUGAGGUGCUUGUGCACUGCUAAAACAGGGCUCAUGUCUGGCCAGCUUCUUGGAUAUUCUGACAGGAACACAAGGAUGCCCAGAGCAUCAUGAAAGGAGGAUACCUGAGUCACUGGGGUGGGAUUUUUGUGAUGGAUGGAGCCAAUCCCCUGAACUGAGAGCUCACUUCCUUCUCCUCCUGACAGCUGGAGGCACCAGCUGAUUUCACCAGAUGAGUUAUCCAAAAGUGGCAACAUUUACCAUAUGAUAAAUUUGUUUCAUGUGAUGAGUUUGUUUAAUAAGAAGCCAAGUGUUAACUGAGUCUGGUUACAUUCCUGAUGCUUUCUCUAAGGUUAGGAAAGCAGAGCAAGAACAAAGCACACUGCGCUUUUCAGCUUUGUUCCACUUGCCAAUACUUAUAACAUGGUCUAAGUGCCACUCACACACUCCUCUGGCUGACAGAACUGGCUGUUUGUGCGUUCAUGGUCAGCAGAAGCAUUAUCUCCAUAAACUGAAUACGUGCAAGCACAGGCACACGGGUGAACAGCAGUGGUCCCUGUUCCACACACUUGCCAGUUGUCAGCCUCCCCCUUCCCAGUUUCUAAUUAGCACAACUAUAAAUGCAGUGCCGCAAUUUCUGGAGUCAGUCAUAUUUUCUUAAGAUCAAUGGCCAAGCUCCAAAUUUCUUUGUUUCAUUAAGAUUCUGGAGAUCUGGAUCUGUCACUGGGCAAGUCACAAGUCUUCCUGUAUCUCUGUUCUCAGUGAGUAAAAAUUAACAUGUUAAUAAUGGCAUCAUCAUUAUUAUUUUUACGUGCUACAGGCUCUGUAAGAAGCGAUAAUGCCUUUUAUUAGGCUGAACAACUGGGAAAAAUGUUAACUUAAUUUGACUUAGCUUCAGUUGUCAUGGUGAACCUUUUGGUUGCUUAGACUGCAAGUGGAACAGCGUAUGAUUAAUCUCUUGCUGGGAGUGAGCUGAGUGCCUCUUACACAAAGGUUUUAGUUUCUCAAUGUUUUCAUGAUUCCAGUAAAGCUGAAUUAUGAUCUUAGUAACACACAGGCACGACUCAUCCCAGGAUUCCCAGUGAAAACAGACCCACGCGCCACCACCUCGCUUCUCCACUGAUGCGUCCAGCCUGUCUCAUUGACUUUGUCUCUUUCCAUUCCCUCGUUUCACACAUUGGCGGGUUCUCCCACUCCUUCAGAGAGGCCGAACUUCUCACUUGCAAGAUUGAUUUCUGUGUCUAGCAUCGGGGAGGGAUUUUGUGAAGGCCUCUGCAGGUCUCUUUUCAAAGCCUCAUCUGAAAACAACAUCUCUCCCCAUGAUGAAAUUCUGCUGUGCUGCAGCACUGUCUACAGGGACUGUUCAAGCUGAGUCUAAGGUGAGAAAGUCUGAGGUUACAGCACUGGAGGGGAGCACCCAGGAGGACUCCACUGCUGCCACCUAAGCCUGUGAUUUAUUCUCUGCAAGAGAUGGAUGUCUUUAUGGCAGGUUUUGACAUCAUGGAAUAUUACUGUUCUUCUGUAUUGCAGGAGAGGAGCAGUUUUCCAAUAGGAAAAUGGUUUAUGGUCAAUUGAAAUGUUUUUAUUUCAAGUACUUAAAAACUAGAUUUCUUUACAGUGUACAAAAUAAAAAGCAGAAAUUUGAAAACUAACUUUUGUGACUUCAGCCAGAUCUGGUCAACCUUUCAGUGUUGAUGGAAAACAAAACAUUCCAGCUGAUGUUGACUCUAUUUGUAUCUUGCUGAUCAGCUUUUCUUGCAAAACAUUGGGAGAAAUAUUUCAGUUUCUUACCAGAACCGAGAUUUGUCAGAAGUCUGCGUGCCCUUAGGCCAGCAUGAGGCUCGGUCCAAGCUGUCAGCUCUGGGUGCUGCUCCCAGCGUCCUUUGACCACGACUGAGGGUUUGCUGCAGAGGUGGCAGAGGAACAGAUGUUCUUGGCUGGGGUAAUGGGGAUCCCCAUCAGUGUGGGACAUUUUUUACUUAUUCAUGACAGUAAAUGCUUCUUACUGCCAGUAUUGGUUUGCUGCACCUCAGAUGUGUAACUGUCAUAUUGCAGUACUGAAAAGAUAGGGUUUUUUUCCUUACCGGAAACAUCACAAACAUUCCUAGGACAAGCUGUUGGUAAUAAAUGUAGCAAAGCUGUGCUGAGCUUUUUGCUCCAAGAAGUUUGUGUGGCAACUUGGUGAAAGCAAUUCUAAACUUUGGUUGAGGAAAACCCAAGACUAUUCAGUUGGGUGUUUAACCACAGGUGUCUGUUCAUGCCAGAGCUCUGACCUUGCUGAGCACAACUGUCAAUGCCGUGGGUAGCGCGGGUCUGAUCCUGCUCACAUCAGCCUUUCUCACCAGCACCAGGCUGACAGAAAGGGUCCCCUCUCUCCCUAAUGAAGUUAAAUACACUCGUACGUAUAGAAUGCAUUAAAGAUGAUAGUGUGCAGUAGGAUCGUACCUCUGUGUCUUUAUUCUCUGCUUUAUUUGAUCAGAGAAGGUAUUCCACUAACACGGGGUGUAUUUGACCAACUCACUUUUCUAUACUGCAGUGGAAGGGCUGAUCGCUCACCAUUCAAACCUCAGCUGGGGGAAGCAGGAUAAAAACCAAACCAACCAGUUUCCAGCACCUCCACCAUUUAAGAUACAAGAUUUAUUGGCUAUUUCCUCCUACAUCACAACAAUCUUCCACCAGAACAUCUCUGAGACUGAGUUUUUCUUAGACUGUGCACAUCAACCCACUGACACUGUUUCCAAGGUCAGGUCACCUCAUAUAUCUGCAAAACAAACCUGAUUUUGAUCUGCUUUCUUUACGUUUUGUGAGUGUGCACAUGACAUAAUUGAAAUAAGCUUAUCCUACUCAGGAAGAAAAAAAAAUUCCUACCACAGUUUAGGUAAACCAAGCAAUUAUUCUGUUACUAAGUGUAAUUAAUGCCUAAUGAUUUGCUUUGAUUAAUAGGACAAUCGGCAUCUGCUCCUGGAUAUAGGGAUUAGUAACCCAAGCCGUCUCUAAUAUUAGAAGGCAGGGGGUUCUUUUGUACUAAAAUCUGUUUUUUCACAUUCAUUUCAAAGCAGAAAAGGAAAGCCCUGUGCUAUAUUCUAAAAGAGGAAUAAAGGGGAGGUAGUAUAUUUUUGAAAGACUAUAGAGAAAACUUUAUACUGUCUUAAUGAAUUUGUGGGUUUGAGUGAAAUCCAUGCAUCUCCAUCCUCUAAGAAAGCAAUAACUUCAAUGUAAUUCUCUGGCAAUUUUUGCAGGCAAAGUUACAGCCAAAAUAUUUAAGAUUCUGCACCUUCUGGGCAGUAGAAGCAUCUCCUGGAACAGAAAGUUGAACUAAAUACAAGUCUACAUUUGAUAUUUCUGUGUUGCUGGUUGCUGCUAAAUCUUCCCUCAGUUUAUGAAACAAUGGAAUGGCAUUUUUUAGCUAUAACAGUUAUUUUUCUAAAUCCCCAGAUUAGUUUCUCAUUUUUUUUUUCUGGAUGGCUGAAGAAUUACAAAGCACAAUGAAGCUGCAAGGCUAAUAAUUCUUUAUCAUCUUCUAUUGAUCCUAAAGAUGGAGAUGGAGUGCAGUUAGAUGCAAACACUAAUCCAAUCGUAUAACAGACAUCCCCAUAUGGUUAAUCACUAGCUUUGCCUUAAGCCAAUCAAUAAUCACUUUGACGAAGAAAAAGAAAUUGGAAUUUUUUUUUGUUGAAAGAUUGGCUGUCAGUCAUUUGGGCUCUGAAUGCUGCAUCUACCAAGUGAUACCCAGGUGUUAUGGACUUGUUGGUCACUUCAACAUGCACUCAAAAAUAGUUCUUGUAGGGGCUGGUAGAUAAGUUAGGCAACGGUUAUCAUCACUGCGAUUACAACAGAGCCAAGGACAGACUUAACUUGAGCCACACAUCUUGCUUCUUUUUACAAGCCUUUAAAAGGGACUAAACACUUUGUAAAUGAGUUGGGCUUUCAUUGUCAUGUAAACAAAUAAUGUCCCUGAAGAGAUGAUGUCAGUGUGCACCAUUGAAGACAGAAGAUGUGUGGUGCAGGCUCACCUGGAGCCUUUUGUUCUCCAGUCUGUGGUUGAACGUUGUGAGAAUGGAGAGCGAGUCCCUCCAGGCACCUGGUAAGCACUUGGUUUAUUCUGUUCACGGGUGCUUUCACCGACACCUUCGUCUGCUGCGAUCCGCGCAGUGCUGAAUGCACUGAAGAGGCAGCAGAAGCACUGAGGUUUCAAGCAGCUCUGCUCCAGUCCCUCUCCGAGUUUGUUGGGUUGAGGGCCGACUCCUGUGUCUGGUCUCAGGCUGUGUCCUCUGCACCAGCUCCUCUGUGUCCAGACACUAUUUCAGAUUUUCCUGCGUAGGAAUUCAUGCUGUAAUUGCAGAGGAACACUGGCAGGUCAGGACUGGUGCUGAAGGAUGGUGAUUGAUGAUUAAACAUGCACUGUACAUUCAGUUUAAUCCAGCAAAUAAUUCCCUAAUUCCAAAUACUCAAUAUUCACCAAUGAAGUGCCUUUGACCAGAUGCGAGCUGAAACAGAAACACUGCAAUAAACUUAAAAAUAACAUAAAAUACCAAACACAUAAAGGAAGUAACAUGUGCUGUGAGAUGUAUUAAUUAAAUAGAUUGUAUACUGACAA